rnacentral:rRNA from 1 species
UUGACGGGGCCCGCACAAGCGGUGGAGCAUGUGGUUUAAUUCGAUGCAACGCGAAGAACCUUACCUGGGCUUGACAUCCCGGGAAUCCCUUGGAAACAAGGGAGUGCCCUUCGGGGAACCUGGAGACAGGUGCUGCAUGGCUGUCGUCAGCUCGUGUCGUGAGAUGUAGGGUUAAGUCCCGCAACGAGCGCAACCCUUGCCAUUAGUUGCUACGAAAGGGCACUCUAAUGGGACUGCCGGUGACAAACCGGAGGAAAGGUGAGGAUGACGUCAAGUCCUCAUGGCCCUUAUAGGUGGGGCUACACACGUCAUACAAUGGCCGGUACAGAGGGUAGCCAACCCGCGAGGGGGAGCCAAUCCCACAAAGCCGGUCGUAGUCCGGAUCGCAGUCUGCAACUCGACUGCGUGAAGUCGGAAUCGCUAGUAAUCGCGGAUCAGCAUGUCGCGGUGAAUACGUUCCCGGGUCUU